rnacentral:rRNA from 1 species
AAUGAACGCUGGCGGCAGGCCUAACACAUGCAAGUCGAACGCCCCGCAAGGGGAGUGGCGCACGGGUGAGUAACGCGUGGGAAUAUGCCCUUCGGUUCGGAAUAACACAGGGAGACUUGUGCUAAUACCGGAUAAGAUCUACGGAUGAAAGAUUCAUCGCCGAUGGAGUAGCCCGCGUAGGAUUAGCUAGUUGGUGAGGUAAUGGCUCACCAAGGCGACGAUCCUUAGCUGGUCUGAGAGGAUGAUCAGCCACACUGGGACUGAGACACGGCCCAGACUCCUACGGGAGGCAGCAGUGGGGGAUAUUGGACAAUGGGGGAAACCCUGAUCCAGCCAUGCCGCGUGAGUGAUGAAGGCCUUAGGGUUGUAAAGCUCUUUCGCCAGGGAAGAUAAUGACGGUACCUGGAAAAGAAGCCUCGGCUAACUCCGUGCCAGCAGCCGCCGUAAAAC